rnacentral:rRNA from 1 species
CGCGUAGGCGGUUAUUUAAGUCGGAUGUGAAAGCCCUGGGCUCAACCUGGGAACUGCACUCGAUACUGGAUAACUAGAGUACGAGAGAGGGAGGUAGAAUUCCACGUGUAGCGGUGAAAUGCGUAGAUAUGUGGAGGAAUACCGGUGGCGAAGGCGGCCUCCUGGCUCGAUACUGACGCUGAGGUGCGAAAGCGUGGGGAGCAAACA